rnacentral:rRNA from 1 species
CUACCUAUAAGACUGGGACAACUUCGGGAAACCGGAGCUAAUACCGGAUAAGAUAUCGAACCGCAUGGUUCGAUAGUGAAAGANGGUUUUGCUAUCACUUAUAGAUGGACCCGCGCCGUAUUAGCUAGUUGGUGAGGUAACGGCUCACCAAGGCAACGAUACGUAGCCGACCUGAGAGGGUGAUCGGCCACACUGGAACUGAGACACGGUCCAGACUCCUACGGGAGGCAGCAGCC